rnacentral:rRNA from 1 species
GAGUUUGAUCCUGGCUCAGAGCGAACGCUGGCGGCAGGCUUAACACAUGCAAGUCGAACGGACCCUUCGGGGUUAGUGGCGGACGGGUGAGUAACACGUGGGAACGUGCCCUUAGGUUCGGAACAACACAGGGAAACUUGUGCUAAUACCGGAUGUGCCCUUCGGGGGAAAGAUUUAUCGCCUUUGGAGCGGCCCGCGUCUGAUUAGCUAGUUGGUGAGGUAAAGGCUCACCAAGGCGACGAUCAGUAGCUGGUCUGAGAGGAUGGCCAGCCACAUUGGGACUGAGACACGGCCCAAACUCCUACGGGAGGCAGCAGUGGGGAAUCUUGCGCAAUGGGCGAAAGCCUGACGCAGCCAUGCCGCGUGGAUGAUGAAGGUCUUAGGAUUGUAAAAUCCUUUCAGCGGGACGAUAAUGACGGUACCCGCAGAAGAAGCCCCGG